rnacentral:lncRNA from 1 species
UAGCAUUAGGGUUAGGGUUAGGGUUAGAGUUAGUGUUAGGGUUAGAGUUAGGGGUAGGGUUUGGGUUAGAGUUUGGGCCAGGGUUAGGGAUAGUGUUAGGGAUAGGGUUAGGGUUAGCAUUAGCAUUAGGGUUAGGGAUAGGGUUAGAGUUAGGGAUAGAGAUAGGGUUAGUGUUAGGUUUAAGGGUUAGAGAUAGGGAUAGGGUUAGGGUUUGGGCUAGGGUUUAGGAUAGGGUUAGGGUUAGGGUUAGGGUUAGGGAUAGGGAUAGGGAUAGGGAUAGGGUUAGGGCUCAGGUUAGCAUUCCAUGCUGAUUGCUGCUUCAUUUAUUUUUUGUUCUUUUUCACUGAGCUGCAUAGGACUACAGUUGACUUCCACAGCAGUGGUGGCUCUAUCGCAGGUUGCUCCAUUAGAUGGCCCUACAGGUUUGCUACCUCAGAGCAGUGUGACCAAAGCCCACGCAUGGCCUCCACUGUUGGCUGUCCCAGGCUGAGGAUCAGUCCCACUCACAACAUUCCAACUCCUCUCUGUUUGGUCUUACAGGAAAAAGCACAUGCUUUCCAUCCUGUACAGUAAACAGAGCCUUAAUCCAGGC